GGGGGAUUAGCUCAAGUGGUAGAGCGCGCGCUUCGCAUGCGUGAGGUAGCGGGAUCGAUGCCCACAUCCUCCA
rnacentral:tRNA from 1 species